rnacentral:rRNA from 1 species
UACGAGGGGGGCAAGUGUUGUUCGGAAUUACUGGGCGUAAAGGGAGCGUAGGCGGAUGCUUAAGUUGGAUGUUUAAAACCGGGGCCCAACCCCGGAGCGGCAUCCAAAACUGGGCAUCUUGAAUGGGACAGAGGCUGGUGGAAUUGGAGGUGUAGCGGUGGAAUGCGUAGAGAUCAGGAGGAACACCAAUAGCGAAGGCAGCUCGCUGGGACGUUACUGACACUGAGGCGCGAAAGCGUGGGGAGCGAACAGG